rnacentral:rRNA from 1 species
GUGGGGAAUCUUGCGCAAUGGGCGAAAGCCUGACGCAGCCAUGCCGCGUGAAUGAUGAAGGUCUUAGGAUUGUAAAAUUCUUUCACCGGGGACGAUAAUGACGGUACCCGGAGAAGAAGCUCCGGCUAACUUCGUGCCAGCAGCCGCGGUAAUACGAAGGGGGCUAGUGUUGCUCGGAAUUACUGGGCGUAAAGGGCGCGUAGGCGGACAGCUUAGUCAGAGGUGAAAGCCCAGGGCUCAACCUUGGAAUUGCCUUUGAUACUGGCUGUCUUGAGUUUGGGAGAGGUGAGUGGAACUCCGAGUGUAGAGGUGAAAUUCGUAGAUAUUCGGAAGAACACCAGUGGCGAAGGCGACUCACUGGCCCAAUACUGACGCUGAGGCGCGAAAGCGUGGGGAGCAAACAGGAUUAGAAACCCCGGUAGUCC